rnacentral:lncRNA from 13 species
UUGAUUGAAUUUUUUUGAUUGCAGUGCUCGAGGUGGUAACUGGGCAGAGAGGUGGAGAUUUAGAACAUUUAUAUCAGAUCUGUUAUGAUGAAUAUAAAAAGUUCAAAUCGCGCAGUGAAUAUAAUAAAAAUAAUAAAAAAUCGAUUUCAUCGAUUGAUUUCAAACAAAAAACUUGAAAGAAAUAAUAUAGAUGCACUCACAAACAACAAGACACAAAAAAAA